rnacentral:snRNA from 1 species
AGCUUUGUGUAGUGGCAGUAUCGUAGCCAAUGAGGUUUAUCCGAGGCGCGAUUAUUGCUAAUUGAUGUUUGAAAACUUUGGGGGCUUCCAGAUCAUCUAUUUAUAUACAUCUUUGUUCUGAAAUAACGUAUCACCAGGUUGACAGGUUGAAAAUUAUUGGCAAGUCUGCCUUUUCCUAAUAC